GCCUCCCCUUCUAAUUGUACUCCAUCAUGACCUGAUGCUGGUAGUUCCACACAUGCGGCAUGCAUGUGGGACUAUGAAAUAUCCUACUGGAUGAUGCACUUGCAAUGAAAAUAUAUUACGAAUAUAUAAGAGUGUGCAAUAACUAUACAAUAAAUAAAUAAAUAAAUAAUUGAUACAAUAAAAAUCUACUCUCAAUAGGAUCGUGCGACGUGGAUGCCGGUGGAGCUAGAUUGGUGGGUGGAGUAUAUGCCAGAGAUGUGGCUGUCGGUCAAGACUCAGAUGUGCUGGUGGGAGGAAGAUGUGCUUGCGAAGCUGAAGCCGAGGCCGAUGUGGUGUGAGGAGUAUGUACCUCCGAAGUCGAUGCGAAUGUGGAGGUGGAUGCAGAGGUGAAGCUCCGCAUAGCCCAUCGAGGGGCGGGGGUGAAAGCUAGAUGGUGUUUCGGUACCAUCAUGAUCUGCAAUGCUAAUAAAUAUUAACAAAUAUAACAUAUUGUUGAACAAUAAUAUUAGUAGAGCAUAAAUAAAUAAAUACUAUCAUUUAUACCGGGAUGUUGAAUUCAUCGCCUACUGACAUCUACAAUAUGGGCAUCACCAUCGCUCCUGACAAAUGUAUCUGAGA
rnacentral:lncRNA from 1 species